rnacentral:rRNA from 1 species
CGUUAAUUCGGAAUUACUUGGGCGUAAGCGCCAUGCAGGUGGUUUGUUAAGUCAGAUGUGAAGCCCGGGCUCACCUCGGAAUGCAUUGAAACUGCCAGACUAGAGUACUGUAGAGGGGGGUAGAAUUCAGGUGUAGCGGUGAAAUGCGUAGAGAUCUGAAGGAAUACCCAGUGGCGAAGGCGGCCCCCUGGACAGAUACUGACACUCAGAUGCGAAAGCGUGGGGAGCAAACAGGAUUAGAUACCCUGGUAGUCCACGCCGUAAACGAUGUCUACUUGGAGGUUGUGGCCUUGAGCCGUGGCUUUCGGAGCUAACGCGUUAAGUAGACCGCCUGGGGAGUACGGUCGCAAGAUUAAAACUCAAAUGAAUUGACGGGGGCCCGCACAAGCGGUGGAGCAUGUGGUUUAAUUCGAUGCAACGCGAAGAACCUUACCUACUCUUGACAUCCAGAGAAGCCAGCGGAGACGCAGGUGUGCCUUCGGGAACUCUGAGACAGGUGCUGCAUGGCUGUCGUCAGCUCGUGUUGUGAAAUGUUGGGUUAAGUCCCGCAACGAGCGCAACCCUUAUCCUUGUUUGCCAGCGAGUAAUGUCGGGAACUCCAGGGAGACUGCCGGUGAUAAACCGGAGGAAGGUGGGGACGACGUCAAGUCAUCAUGGCCCUUACGAGUAGGGCUACACACGUGCUACAAUGGCGCAUACAGAGGGCAGCAAGCUAGCGAUAGUGAGCGAAUCCCAAAAAGUGCGUCGUAGUCCGGAUUGGAGUCUGCAACUCGACUCCAUGAAGUCGGAAUCGCUAGUAAUCGUGAAUCAGAAUGUCACGGUGAAUACGUUCCCGGGCCUUGUACACACCGCCCGUCACACCAUGGGAGUGGGCUGCAAAAGAAGUGGGUAGUUUAACCUUUCGGGGAGGACGCUCACCACUUUGUGGUUCAUGACUGGGGUGAAGUCGUAACAAGGUAACC